rnacentral:rRNA from 1 species
UCGGGACGCAGCAGUAGGGAAUCUUCCACAAUGGGCGAAAGCCUGAUGGAGCAACGCCGCGUGGGUGAAGAAGGUCUUCGGAUCGUAAAACCCUGUUGUUAGAGAAGAAAGUGCGUGAGAGUAACUGUUCACGUUUCGACGGUAUCUAACCAGAAAGCCACGGCUAACUACGUGCCAGCAGCCGCGGUAAUACGUAGGUGGCAAGCGUUAUCCGGAUGUAUUGGGCGUAAAGGGAACGCAGGCGGUCUUUUAAGUCUGAUGUGAAAGCCUUCGGCGUCACCGGAGUAGUGCAUUGGAAACUUGGA